AAGUCGUAACAAGGUUUCCGUAGGUGAACCUGCGGAAGGAUCAUUACAAAUCUUGAGUUGGUCCCUCCCCCCAGUGGGGAGGGCUGACACAUUAGCACAAGGCCGCAAGGCCUUGAUGUUUACGCUUGUAUGUUUGACAGAGUUUAAAUUGUGACCUUAAAAAUGACAACUUUUAACAACGGAUCUCUUGGCUCUU
rnacentral:misc_RNA from 1 species